CCUACGGGGAGCAGCAGUGAGGAAUAUUGGUCAAUGGACGAGAGUCUGAACCAGCCAAGUAGCGUGAAGGAUGACUGCCCUAUGGGUUGUAAACUUCUUUUAUAUGGGAAUAAAAUGUUCCACGUGUGGGAUUUUGUAUGUACCAUAUGAAUAAGGAUCGGCUAACUCCGUGCCAGCAGCCGCGGUAAUACGGAGGAUCCGAGCGUUAUCCGGAUUUAUUGGGUUUAAAGGGAGCGUAGGUGGAUUGUUAAGUCAGUUGUGAAAGUUUGCGGCUCAACCGUAAAAUUGCAGUUGAAACUGGCAGUCUUGAGGACAGUAGAGGUGGGCGGAAUUCGUGGUGUAGCGGUGAAAUGCUUAGAUAUCACGAAGAACUACGAUUGCGAAGGCAGUUCACUGGACUGCAACUGACACUGAGGCUCGAAAGUGUGGGUAUCAAACAGAUUAGAUACCCUUGUAGUC
rnacentral:rRNA from 1 species